rnacentral:sRNA from 1 species
AUUCUGCCCAUGCGGGGAAGGAUGAGAAGCUUCGACCAAGGUUCGACUCGAGCGCCAGCGAGAGAGCGUUGCCGCAGGCAACGACCCGAAGGGUGAGGAGCGAAGCGACGAAUAAUCCUACCCCCACCACCA